AGAGUUUGAUCCUGGCUCAGAACGAACGCUGGCGGCAGGCUUAACACAUGCAAGUCGAGCGCCCCGCAAGGGGAGCGGCAGACGGGUGAGUAACGCGUGGGAACGUACCCCCCGGUUCGGAAUAACUCAGGGAAACUUGAGCUAAUACCGGAUACGGCGACCAAGAGAGAUCUUGGAGGCGAAAGAUUUAUCGCCGGGGGAUCGGCCCGCGUCCGAUUAGCUAGUUGGUGUGGUAAUGGCGCACCAAGGCGACGAUCGGUAGCUGGUCUGAGAGGAUGAUCAGCCACAUUGGGACUGAGACACGGCCCAAACUCCUACGGGAGGCAGCAGUGGGGAAUAUUGGACAAUGGGCGAAAGCCUGAUCCAGCCAUGCCGCGUGAGUGAUGAAGGCCUUAGGGUUGUAAAGCUCUUCACCCAC
rnacentral:rRNA from 1 species